rnacentral:rRNA from 1 species
GACGAACGCUGGCGGCGUGCUUAACACAUGCAAGUCGAACGGAAAGGCCCUGCUUUUGUGGGGUGCUCGAGUGGCGAACGGGUGAGUAACACGUGAGUAACCUGCCCUUGACUUUGGGAUAACUUCAGGAAACUGGGGCUAAUACCGGAUAGGAGCUCCUGCUGCAUGGUGGGGGUUGGAAAGUUUCGGCGGUUGGGGAUGGACUCGCGGCUUAUCAGCUUGUUGGUGGGGUAGUGGCUUACCAAGGCUUUGACGGGUAGCCGGCCUGAGAGGGUGACCGGCCACAUUGGGACUGAGAUACGGCCCAGACUCCUACGGGAGGCAGCAGUGGGGAAUAUUGCACAAUGGGCGGAAGCCUGAUGCAACAACGCCGCGUGCGGGAUGACGGCCUUCGGGUUGUAACCCGCUUUCGCCUGUGACGAAGCGUGAGUGACGGUAAUGGGUAAAGAAGCACCGGCUAACUACGUG